GUCUUAGUAGCGUAUAGUUAUUGUACGGCCCCUACUAGGCGACAGACGCGGGUUCGAAUCCCGCCUGAGAUG
rnacentral:tRNA from 1 species